rnacentral:lncRNA from 1 species
GCAGAUGCUACUUUUCUCUACUAAGAUGCAUUAAAUGUGGAGACCAUAGGCUAGCUUUGAGCUAAUGAAGGCUAGACACAUGGUCUGGUAGUUGUUACUCCUUUACUGGCCACUCCUCUUCCUCUGAUAAUGAUGGUUAAUAUUAAAGCUCAUAUCAAAAGAAACUUGAUGAGGCCGAGAAAGAAGUCAGUAGACUUCAACAAGAAGUUCGGCAAGAAGUUGUAGCACACA